CGGGGUGCAGCAGGCGCGAAAACUUUACAAUGCUGGAAACAGCGAUAAGGGAACCUCGAGUGCCAGGUUACAAAUCUGGCUGUCGUGAUGCCUAAAAAGCAUUGCAUAGCAAGGGCCGGGCAAGACCGGUGCCAGCCGCCGCGGUAACACCGGCGGCUCGAGUGGUAACCGUUAUUAUUGGGUCUAAAGGGUCUGUAGCCGGCCGGAUAAGUCUCUUGGGAAAUCUGGCAGCUUAACUGUCAGGCUUUCAGGAGAUACUGUCUGGCUCGAGGCCGGGAGAGGUGAGAGGUACUUCAGGGGUAGGGGUGAAAUCUUGUAAUCCUUGAAGGACCACCAGUGGCGAAGGCGUCUCACCAGAACGGACCUGACGGCAAGGGACGAAAGCUAGGGGCACGAACCGGAUUAGAUACCCGGGUAGUCCUAGCCGUAAACGAUACUCGCUAGGUGUCGGCCACGGUGCGAUCGUGGUCGGUGCCGUAGGGAAGCCGUGAAGCGAGCCACCUGGGAAGUACGGCCGCAAGGCUGAAACUUAAAGGAAUUGGCGGGGGAGCACAAGGGCGAUUCGCGG
rnacentral:rRNA from 1 species